rnacentral:rRNA from 1 species
AUUGAACGCUGGCGGCAUGCUUUACACAUGCAAGUCGAACGGUAACAGGCCGCAAGGUGCUGACGAGUGGCGAACGGGUGAGUAAUGCAUCGGAACGUGCCUAGUCGUGGGGGAUAACGCAGCGAAAGCUGUGCUAAUACCGCAUACGAUCUAUGGAUGAAAGCGGGGGACCGUAAGGCCUCGCGCGAUUGGAGCGGCCGAUGUCAGAUUAGGUAGUUGGUGGGGUAAAGGCUCACCAAGCCAACGAUCUGUAGCUGGUCUGAGAUGACGACCAGCCACACUGGGACUGAGACACGGCCCAGACUCCUACGGGAGGCAGCAGUGGGGAAUUUUGGACAAUGGGCGCAAGCCUGAUCCAGCAAUGCCGCGUGCAGGAAGAAGGCCUUCGGGUUGUAAACUGCUUUUGUACGGAACGAAACGGCGAGCUCUAAUACAGUUUGCUAAUGACGGUACCGUAAGAAUAAGCACCGGCUAACUACGUGCCAGCCGCCGCAGUAA